rnacentral:rRNA from 1 species
UACGGGGGGGGCAAGCGUUGUUCGGAAUUACUGGGCGUAAAGGGCUCGUAGGCGGCUAACUAAGUCAGACGUGAAAUCCCUCGGCUUAACCGGGGAACUGCGUCUGAUACUGGAUGGCUUGAGGUUGGGAGAGGGAUGCGGAAUUCCAGGUGUAGCGGUGAAAUGCGUAGAUAUCUGGAGGAACACCGGUGGCGAAGGCGGCAUCCUGGACCAAUUCUGACGCUGAGGAGCGAAAGCCAGGGGAGCAAACGGG